rnacentral:rRNA from 1 species
AUCUGGUUGAUCCUGGCUGAACUGAUAUGUUUCUUUCAAAGAUUUAGCCAUGCAUGUCUAAGUGGAGUAUUAUAUAGCGAAACUGCGAACGGCUCAUUACAACAGAUAUAAUUUACUAGUUCUUGUUUCUAUAUGGAUAACUGCGGUAAUUCUGGAGCCAAUACAUGCAUCAA